CGGCCUAUAUUGUAUCAGUUAGUUGGUGGGGUAAGAGCCUACCAAGGCGAUGACACAUAGCGGGUCUGAGAGGAUGAUCCGCCACACUGGAACUGAGACACGGACCAUACUCCUACGGGAGGCAGCAGUGAGGAAUAUUGCACAAUGGGGGGAACCCUGAUGCAGCAACGCCGCGUGGAGGAUGACGCAUUUCGGUGUGUAAACUCCUUUUAUCAGAGAAGUGACGGUAUCUGAUGAAUAAGCUCCGGCUAACUCCGUGCCAGCAGCCGCGGUAAUACGGAGGGAGCAAGCGUUACUCGGAAUCACUGGGCGUAAAGGGCGCGUAGGCGGGUUGUCAAGUCAGGUGUGAAAUCCUAUGGCUCAACCAUAGAACUGCACUUGAAACUGUCAACCUAGAGUAUGGAAGGGGCAGAUGGAAUUAGUGGUGUAGGGGUAAAAUCCGUAGAU
rnacentral:rRNA from 1 species